UACGUAGGGUGCAAGCGUUGUCCGGAAUUAUUGGGCGUAAAGAGCUCGUAGGCGGUCUGUCGCGUCUGCUGUGAAAACUCAGGGCUUAACCCUGAGCUUGCAGUGGGUACGGGCAGACUAGAGUGCGGUAGGGGAGACUGGAAUUCCUGGUGUAGCGGUGAAAUGCGCAGAUAUCAGGAGGAACACCGGUGGCGAAGGCGGGUCUCUGGGUCGUAACUGACGCUGAGGAGCGAAAGCAUGGGGAGCGAACAGG
rnacentral:rRNA from 1 species